UUUUUUUUUGUACAUCUACAAAGACACUAAUGCUUUUUAAUAUACUUUUCCAAAAUUAUUCGAAAUAUUAUUGUUCACACUAACAUAUCACUUUUUCCAUCUCUCCCACAUUAACCCCAUUCCUCUCUUUAGCCGUAAUCCUCUCUAUAUAUACGUGAAUUCCCCGAAAUGUUAAGUUCGUGCCAUCAGCUUUUAUAUUAGGAGAAACCACUUACAAAUCUAAGUGCGACUUCUCUUCUUCUUCCUCCUCCUAAAAACCUAAACAGAUUAUUUAAACAAAAAAAAUAAACAAGNNN
rnacentral:lncRNA from 1 species